rnacentral:rRNA from 1 species
GGUGAACGCCGGCGGUGUGCCUAAUACAUGCAAGUCGUACGCACUGGCCCAACUGAUUGAUGGUGCUUGCACCUGAUUGACGAUGGAUUACCAGUGAGUGGCGGACGGGUGAGUAACACGUAGGUAACCUGCCCCGGAGCGGGGGCUAACAUUUGGAAACAGAUGCUAAUACCGCAUAACAACAAAAGCCACAUGGCUUUUGUUUGAAAGAUGGAUUUGGCUAUCACCCUGGGAUGGACCUGCGGUGCAUUAGCUAGUUGGUAAGGUAACGGCUUACCAAGGCGAUGAUGCAUAGCCGAGUUGAGAGACUGAUCGGCCACAAUGGAACUGAGACACGGUCCAUACUCCUACGGGAGGCAGCAGUAGGGAAUCUUCCACAAUGGGCGCAAGCCUGAUGGAGCAACACCGCGUGAGUGAAGAAGGGUUUCGGCUCGUAAAGCUCUGUUGUUGGAGAAGAACGUGCGUGAGAGUAACUGUUCACGCAGUGACGGUAUCCAACCAGAAAGUCACGGCUAACUACGUGCCAGCCGCCGCCGUAAAAC